rnacentral:rRNA from 1 species
UACGUAGGGUGCAAGCGUUGUCCGGAAUUAUUGGGCGUAAAGAGCUCGUAGGCGGUUCGUCGCGUCGGCUGUGAAAUCCCGAGGCUCAACCUCGGGUCUGCAGUCGAUACGGGCGGACUGGAGUUCGGCAGGGGAGACUGGAAUUCCUGGUGUAGCGGUGAAAUGCGCAGAUAUCAGGAGGUACACCGGUGGCGAAGGCGGGUCUCUGGGCCGAUACUGACGCUGAGGAGCGAAAGCGUGGGGAGCGAACAGG